AGUUAGCACUAGGGGAGCUACGGUGUGUGGCUGAGAAGAGAAAUCUGACCCUUAUUACCCGAUCUAGAUAAUACUAGCGUGGGGAAGUGCGGUUCACUGUAU
rfam:Bacilli bacterium VT-13-104 contig044, whole genome shotgun sequence.